rnacentral:rRNA from 4 species
UCCGUAGGUGAACCUGCGGAGGGAUCAUUACCGAGUUUACAACUCCCAAACCCAAUGUGAACGUUACCAAACUGUUGCCUCGGCGGGAUCUCUGCCCCGGGUGCGUCGCAGCCCCGGACCAAGGCGCCCGCCGGAGGACCAACCAAAACUCUUUUUGUAUACCCCCUCGCGGGUUUUUUAUAAUCUGAGCCUUCUCGGCGCCUCUCGUAGGCGUUUCGAAAAUGAAUCAAAACUUUCAACAACGGAUCUCUUGGUUCUGGCAUCGAUGAAGAACGCAGCGAAAUGCGAUAAGUAAUGUGAAUUGCAGAAUUCAGUGAAUCAUCGAAUCUUUGAACGCACAUUGCGCCCGCCAGUAUUCUGGCGGGCAUGCCUGUCCGAGCGUCAUUUCAACCCUCGAACCCCUCCGGGGGGUCGGCGUUGGGGAUCGGCCCUGCCUCUUGGCGGUGGCCGUCUCCGAAAUACAGUGGCGGUCUCGCCGCAGCCUCUCCUGCGCAGUAGUUUGCACACUCGCAUCGGGAGCGCGGCGCGUCCACAGCCGUUAAACACCCAACUUCUGAAAUGUUGACCUCGGAUCAGGUAGGAAUACCCGCUGAACUUAAGCAUAUCAAUAAGCGGAGGA